rnacentral:lncRNA from 1 species
CCUGUCCAGUCCCACCACACAUAGGGUUAAUGUGGAGGAUGUUGCAAGUGCAGAGAACAAGGAACUGGGAGAUGUGGCUGGCUGAAGGAGGUCAUCACAACUUAUGUCACCACUGCACAGUUGAGAAAGUCUGGCUCUCUCCUGGCUCCUGAUUUCAACCAUCGCUACAGAGAAUGAGUUUGUCUCAGGGCUGUGCUGACUCUCUGGGGGAGAUGGCUUGGUGUCUAUCCCCAAGCAGAGGACACUGUGACCGGAUUGCCUCUCCAAGGUGACAAUAGCUUCUUGGAGACAAUGAUGUUAUGUGUCCCAGAUUCAUAGGAACAAACUGUUCAUGCCAUAUACACUGAGGAACUUAACUUCAAAAAGAAAUUGGAGAUUUGCCAUGUCACGUGGAUGUAGCAUGAAUAAAUAAAUGGACCCAGAGAAUGAUAUUAGGGUUCAAACUUCAAGCUCAAUAUCAGAAAAGCAAAGCAGCUGGCCACUAGCUCUCACCUCAGGCUGAAUGGGCUGGUCCUGUCUCCAUGAGCUCUCACUGAGCCUCAGACUGUAACCUUUCUUCAGUGUUGCUGGAGAAUGAAUGCCUCUUUGACA